rnacentral:lncRNA from 1 species
AUCACAAUAAUUUAGUAAUAAUACACACAGCAACAAUUAAUAAUAUGAGUUAUUACUUUUAUCAUUUGGAUCUUGAUUUCCACAUUGACGAUAACCUAAUGUUGCUUUUCGUUUUGUUGGAACAUAUCCUGGAAUAUACAAACUAGAUACUGUUCCUGCUAAUGGAAAAUUUGAGUCUGUAAAAACUUGUCUUUGAAGUCCUAUAUCGAUAGGACCCAAUCGACCUGAUAUAUCUCCUACAUAACAUCUAAGUGGUAAAUCAGAACCACAUUCUUGUCUGUACAGAUCAUCCUGUGAAAUAAAAUUACUUUUAUGAAAGUAAACAAUGGCAUGUUAAGACAGAAAUUUUAUAUGGUUCUGAUUAAUAUUACAUUUAAAGGAUCUGCUAACUGUGUAAAGUAGGGAUUCCAUAUAUAUCCACCAGCUACACAUCUAGUAUCCUUUACUUGAACAGCUGCAUCUACUCCAACAGGAUUUACAUAUAUCGCCCAAUUGUGGUUUCUUGUCUACAGUUGACGGAAAAUUAUUUUCCCAACAAUGGGAUAUCUGUAUAUUACUUGUGCGGUUACCAUUGGUAUUUGUCCAAUAUUAUCUGGUAAAUAAAGAUUCAAGGUACCGCAGAUCCAUGGUACGGUGCUCUUAUUAUCAGUUUCAUUAUAUCUGAGGAGCAACGUGUAAUCGUUUUUAAUAAGUAAGGAUGAAAAUAAAGCGGUAAUUAUAAAAAGUGAGCGUAAAUAAGUACUUAUGAAGAACAAGGCUUCUGUGAAUUACACUAUGUGUUCCUGAGAGUGGAAGGCAUAUCGAGUGGUCCAACAAGUUCCGUUAAGUCGAUAAUGCUACAUGUUUAUAGUAGUGAUUUUUAAAUAAAACGUGUGACAGCGAUAUAUGGGAAACAAAUUUUUCCAAACAAGAAAAACACCUCUCUCCAAUAUGUUGUCUACUGCAUCUAUCGUCUAUACGUGUGUAAUCAACAGGAAACUGAGUAACUGACCAAAGCCAUUGUUGGUCUGGAUAUUGAAGAGUAGUUUGAAGUGAAAAUCGAAUUCUUACGGACGUUUCUGUGACUUUUUCGAAUCGAAUUUCUCCGUGAAGACCGCCAGAAGAAAUAUAUGCGGCAAGACGCAGUGACAAGCCAAUGGCCAUACUACGUCAAGCUGUUACCUUACAAUGAAAACCAGUCAAGGCAAGGUUGUCUGUACUUUCUUAUUUCUCCGAGCAGUUGUGGUGGGAGUGUUGUGUGGUCGUGAAUAAGAAAAAUGGUACGUAACUUUCUUAUCGAGCAAGUAUACAAAGUCAUAGCGAUUUGUAUGGAUACUUCAUAAAAGAUUAUUAUAAUAUAUACAUGUUACAUUAUAAUCAUGAUUAAUUAAUAAAUUU